AAAUAUGAAGCAAUAUUAUGCAUUUAAUUUCGACUUAAAAGAAAGAGUUUUUACUCCAUAUUUU
rnacentral:tRNA from 1 species